rnacentral:rRNA from 1 species
CUGGCUCAGGAUGAACGCUAGCUACAGGCUUAACACAUGCAAGUCGAGGGCAGCGGGAAGUCAGCUUGCUGACUUGCCGGCGACCGGCGCACGGGUGCGUAACACGUAUCCAAUCUACCCAUUGCUCAGGGAUAGCCUUUCGAAAGAAAGAUUAAUACCUGAUGGUCUGUGUUUGGGACAUCCCAGACACAGUAAAGACUUGUCGGCGAUGGAUGGGGAUGCGUCCGAUUAGGUAGUAGGCGGGGUAACGGCCCACCUAGCCGACGAUCGGUAGGGGUUCUGAGAGGAAGGUCCCCCACACUGGAACUGAGACACGGUCCAGACUCCUACGGGAGGCAGCAGUGAGGAAUAUUGGUCAAUGGGCGAAGGCCUGAACCAGCCCAAGUAGCGUGAGGGAGGACGGCCCUACGGGUUGUAAACCUCUUUUGUUCGGGAAUAAAGUGCGGGACGUGUCCCGCUUUGUAUGUACCUUACGAAUAAGCAUCGGCUAAUUCCGUGCCAGCCGCGGC